rnacentral:sRNA from 1 species
GAUAUAUGGAAGAUUUAAACACCAUUCAUUCUUUGUUUUUCCACAAAGGACCGUCCUCCUUCUAAUAUUUGGAAGAAAAUAGAUCAAUCCAGGGACUAUAAAAAUGGCAAUCAACUCAGGGAAUAUCAACUGGAAGGACUCAACUGGCUCUUGUUCAAUUGGUACAAUAGACGAAACUGCAUCUUAGCAGAUGAAAUGGGUCUUGGCAAAACUAUUCAAUCAAUUACAUUCCUCUAUGAAAUCCUUCUGACUGGUAUAAGAGGACCUUUCCUGAUUAUUGCUCCACUUUCUACUAUUGCAAACUGGGAGAGAGAAUUUCGUACAUGGACUGAUAUUAACGUUGUGGUUUAUCAUGGGAGCCUGAUUAGCAGACAGAUGAUACAGCAAUACGAGAUGUACUUCAGGGAUUCACAGGGGCGUAUCAUUCGAGGAGCUUACAGAUUCCAAGCCAUCAUCACCACUUUUGAAAUGAUUCUUGGAGGCUGUGGAGAGCUUAAUGCAAUUGAAUGGCGAUGUGUGAUUAUUGAUGAAGCACAUAGGUUAAAAAAUAAAAAUUGUAAACUCUUAGAGGGCCUGAAACUCAUGAAUCUGGAACACAAGGUGCUUUUGACUGGCACACCUCUCCAAAAUACAGUUGAAGAACUAUUUAGUCUUCUUCACUUUCUUGAACCCUUAAGGUUUCCUUCUGAAUCGACAUUUAUGCAAGAAUUUGGGGAUCUGAAAACAGAGGAACAGGUACAGAAACUUCAGGCUAUCCUGAAACCAAUGAUGUUGAGACGAUUAAAAGAAGAUGUGGAAAAGAAGUUGGCACCUAAAGAAGAAACCAUCAUUGAAGUAGAACUUACUAAUAUUCAAAAGAAAUACUACCGGGCUAUCUUGGAAAAGAACUUUUCUUUUUUAUCCAAAGGAGCAGGACAAACUAAUGUACCUAACUUGGUCAAUACCAUGAUGGAGCUCAGGAAAUGUUGUAAUCAUCCAUAUCUUAUCAAAGGUGCUGAGGAGAAAAUACUUGGAGAAUUUAGAGAUACUUAUAAUCCAGCUGCUUCUGAUUUUCAUCUUCAAGCAAUGAUCCAGUCUGCUGGUAAAUUGGUCCUUAUUGAUAAAUUGCUUCCCAAAAUGAAAGCUGGAGGUCAUAAAGUGCUCAUCUUCUCUCAAAUGGUUCGCUGCCUUGACAUCCUGGAGGACUAUCUCAUACAUAAAAGGUAAAGCAUACUGAAUUAUACUAUGAAUUAUGCUAAGUAUAUGCUAUUAAGAUUUGUGCAGCACUGUAAUGUAAAUGAACUUUACUCAUAUCUUUCUCUUUACUAGAUUAGAAUAAUGCAUUCAAAUUUAUAAGUAAAGAUUGUUUAGGAUUAUGUGUUAUAUUUUUCUAACCUGUGUAUGUUGCAAUAUUAGAUGUGCCUGAGGAGUCCAAUUAAGAAAAGCUUGCAAAUAAACAUUUGUUGACCCAGGAAUGGGUUUAAAAAUGUACAUUUUACUUGAUUAAUAAACCUUUUGGAUGAAACUUUAAAUAGAUGUAUAUUUACAACAGUCAUCUUCAAAAUUGAAAAAAGUGAUUCAAGAACUUUUGGAUCUAUUUCAUUGUUAUAAUUAGAGCCUUAAGUUGUGGGACUUUUAUUCUUAUUAUAUACUAUAUAAAAUUUGUUCAUGCUUUAAUGUUUUCUGAUUUGUUUCAAUGUGGGUUUUUUGUUUUGUUUUGUUUUGUUUAUUGGUACAUCACAAUAAGAUAGUGUUAAAUAUUGUCUAAUCAGGCCGGGCGCGGUGGCUAACGUCUGUAAUCCCAGCACUUUGGGAGCCCGAGGCAGGCGGAUCACGAGGUCAGGAGAUCAAGACCAUCCUGGCUUACACGGUGAAACCCCCGUCUCUACU